rnacentral:rRNA from 1 species
GUGAACGCUGGCGGUAGGCCUAACACCUGCAAGUCGAACGGCAGCACAGUAAGAGCUUGCUCUUACGGGUGGCGAGUGGCGGACGGGUGAGGAAUACAUCGGAAUCUACUUUUUCGUGGGGGAUAACGUAGGGAAACUUACGCUAAUACCGCAUACGACCUACGGGUGAAAGCAGGGGAUCUUCGGACCUUGCGCGAUUGAAUGAGCCGAUGUCGGAUUAGCUAGUUGGCGGGGUAAAGGCCCACCAAGGCGACGAUCCGUAGCUGGUCUGAGAGGAUGAUCAGCCACACUGGAACUGAGACACGGUCCAGACUCCUAUGGGAGGCAGCAGUGGGGAAUAUUGGACAAUGGGCGCAAGCCUGAUCCAGCCAUACCGCGUGGGUGAAGAAGGCCUUCGGGUUGUAAAGCCCUUUUGUUGGGAAAGAAAAGCAGCAGGUUAAUACCCCGCUGUUCUGACGGUACCCAAAGAAUAAGCACCGGCUAACUUCGUG